ensembl:lncRNA
GUGAGUUCAUCGUUCUUAAAGCACAAUGGAAAGAGUCAGAGAAAGUAAGACGACGAGGAAUAAGACAAGAAGGUGCUCAAAGAGGACCGAAUCUGACAAAUGAGAUCCGCGCAACACUGGUUGACCACGUUGUCAACCACGGCCUGACGACGCUGGACUGCGAGUACAGCCAAAUCUAAGCAGAUAUACGGUGGCAAGUGUGAGAACAUUUCGACUGGAAAAUAGGUAUUGCAGAAAUCAAAAACAUCUGCACGGUUUCAGUAACUGCUUACAGUACUGUAUUCUAUGCACUCUCAGCACUUCUGUUACCUUUUCCUGUGAAAUUACUGUACUAUUGUAUACUGGGAGUUUUUUCUACAUAGGAUUGAGGGUCGGGGACAACAAGGGGGAAGGCCUCCUAUGUUCACAGAACAGCAAGAGAUGGGCAUUCAACUACGCCAUUUUCAACGAUUUCCAUCAGGUCUCAACAUCAACACUGGCACACAUCCUAAAAAAUAAACCUAUUCAAAUGAAGCAAAUUUAUAGAGUGCCUUUCGAGCGCAAUUCCGAAAGGGUGAAACUACUGUGGCAUGAUUAUGCAGAGAGUUUUACGAAUGGAUGGAGAGGAGAUCCAGCAUGAGUUCAUUUACGUAGAUGAGGCUGGGUUCAACCUGACGAGAACACGAAGGAGGGGAAGAAACAUCAUUGGCCACAGGGCUAUAAUCAAUGUCCCAGGGCAACGUGGGGGUAAUAUAACACUGUGCAGCUAUAACACAGAAUAGGGUUCUCCACCGCCAUGCCCAUAUGGGCCCUUACAUUACAUUAUUACAUUACAGGUAACCAUUCUUUGACCAAUUGCACAACAUAACAGCAUCAAAUCGAUCAUAUGCAAUACAUUGUUGUCUGGGACAACGUGUCUUUCCACCGCUCUGCUCUGGUUCAGAACUGGUUUCAGCAACAUCCACAUUUCACUGUACGAUAUCUUCCACCAUACUCUCCAUUCCUCAACCCUACAGAAGAGUUUUUCUCUGCCUGGCGGUGGAAGGAAUGUGAUCUCCGUCUCCAGGCUGAGGUACCCCCUCAUCCAAGCCAUGGAGGAGGCCUGUGACCAGAUGGAGGUAGCAACAAUGCAAGGAUGGAUUCGUCAUUCAAGAAGUUUCUUUCCAAGGUGUCUUGCUAAUGACAACAUUGCCUUCGAUGUUGAUGAAAUUCUCUGGCCAGAUCCAGCUAGGCGAGAAAAGAGAAUUUCUAGUUUUGUUUUGUUUUUUUGAACUUACAAUACGUAAAGUGAC